AGUGAACGCUGGCGGUAGGCCUAACACAUGCAAGUCGAACGGCAGCACAGGAGAGCUUGCUCUCUGGGUGGCGAGUGGCGGACGGGUGAGGAAUACAUCGGAAUCUACUCUGUCGUGGGGGAUAACGUAGGGAAACUUACACUAAUACCGCAUACGACCUACGGGUGAAAGCAGGGGACCUUCGGGCCUUGCGCGAUUGAAUGAGCCGAUGUCGGAUUAGCUAGUUGGCGGGGUAGAGGCCCACCAAGGCGACGAUCCGUAGCUGGUCUGAGAGGAUGAUCAGCCACACUGGAACUGAGACACGGUCCAGACUCCUACGGGAGGCAGCAGUGGGGAAUAUUGGACAAUGGGCGCAAGCCUGAUCCAGCCAUACCGCGUGGGUGAAGAAGGCCUUCGGGUUGUAAGGCCCUUUUGUUGGGAAAGGAAUCCAGCUGGCUAAUACCCGGUUGGGAUGACGGUACCCAAAGAAUAAGCACCGGCUAACUUCGUGCCAGCCGCCGCAGUAA
rnacentral:rRNA from 1 species